rnacentral:piRNA from 1 species
UGAGAUGAGAAUAUCCCUCCCGCCUCUGAUC